GUUCUUACAUGUCAUGUCCCCUGUUCUUAAAUGGUCAUUCCCCUGUUCUUAACAGGCCAGGUCACCGGUUCUGAAUGUCAUGUCCCCUGUUUCUUACUGUCAUGUCCCCUGGUUCUUACAUGGGCAUGUCCCCUGUUCUUUUACAUUCAUGUCCCCUGUUCUACAUGUCAUGUCCCCUGUUCUUACAUGUCAGGUCCCCUGUUCUUACAUGUCCAUGUCCCCAGUUUCUUACAUUCAUGUCCCCUGUGUUCUUACAGGUCAUGUCCGCUUCUGUCUUACAUGUCAUGUCCCCGUUCUUCAUGUCAUGUCCCCUGUUCUUCAUGUCAUGUCCACACAUGCUUCCCCUUUUUUACAUGUCAUGUCCCCUGUUCUUACAUGUCAUGUCCCCUGUUCUUCUUACAUGUCAUGUCCCCUGUUCUUACAUGUCAUGUCCCCUGUUCUUACAUGUCAUGUCCUCCCCUGUUCUACAUGUCAUGUCCCCUGUCUUACAUGUCAUGUCCCCUGUUCUACAUGCAGUCCCCUGUUCUUACAUGUUCAUGGUCCCCUGUUCUUACAGUCAUGUCCCCUGUUCCUUUACAUGUCAUGUCCCCUGUUCUUACAAUGUCAUGUCCCCUGUUCUUACAUGUCAUGUCCCCUGUUCUUACAUGUCAUGUCCCCUGUUCUUAAAAUGCUUUUUUUUUCAGUUGAACGCCUUUUUUCUUUCUUAGGCGUAUUUGUAAGGAUGAGGUAUUGUACUUUUUUUUCUUUCUUAGGCGUAUUUGUAAGGAUGAGGUAUUGUACUUUUUUUUCUUUCUUAGGCGUAUUUGUAAGGAUGAGGUAUUGUACUUUUUUCUUUCUUAGGCGUAUUUGUAAGGAUGAGGUAUUGUACUUUUUUCUUUCUUAGGCGUAUUUGUAAGGAUGAGGUAUUGUAUUUUUUUUCUUCUUAGGCGUAUUUGUAAGGAUGAGGUAUUGUACUUUUUUCUUUCUUAGGCGUAUUUGUAAGGAUGAGGUAUUGUACUUUUUUUUCUUUCUUAGGCGUAUUGUAAGGAUGAGGUAUUGUACUUUUUUUCUUUCUUAGGCGUAUUUGUAAGGAUGAGGUAUUGUACUUUUUUCUUUCUUAGGCGUAUUUGUAAGGAUGAGGUAUUGUACUUUUUUUCUUUUUUUUUACAAAUAAAGGUCUGCCUUGUUGAGAAGAUGCUUGUGUCUUGUUCAAAGUGCGCCA
rnacentral:lncRNA from 1 species